rnacentral:rRNA from 1 species
UGCAAGUCGAGGGGUAACAGGAAAGCUUGCUUUCGCUGACGACCGGCGCACGGGUGCGUAACGCGUAUGCAACCUACCUCAUACUGGAGGAUAGCCCCUGGAAACGGGGAUUAAUACUCCAUAGUAUCACGAAUUCGCAUGUUUUUGUGAUUAAAGUUUUUCGGUAUGAGAUGGGCAUGCGUCCCAUUAGCUUGUUGGUGAGGUAACGGCUCACCAAGGCAACGAUGGGUAGGGGGCCUGAGAGGGUGGUCCCCCACACUGGUACUGAGACACGGACCAGACUCCUACGGGAGGCAGCAGUGAGGAAUAUUGGUCAAUGGAGGCAACUCUGAACCAGCCAUGCCGCGUGAAGGAUGACGGCCCUAUGGGUUGUAAACUUCUUUUAUAGAGGAAGAAACUUGUCUACGUGUAGACAACUGACGGUACUCUACGAAUAAGGAUCGGCUAACUCCGUGCCAGCAGCCGCGGUAAUACGGAGGAUCCAAGCGUUAUCCGGAUUCAUUGGGUUUAAAGGGUCCGUAGGCGGGUCUUUAAGUCAGUGGUGAAAGCCGACAGCUCAACUGUCGAACUGCCAUUGAUACUGGAGACCUUGAGUACAAAUGAAGUAGGCGGAA